UUCUAUACUAGUCAGGCACUGGCAGAGCCUCUCAGGAGACAGCUAUAUCAGGCUUCUGUCCGCAGGCUCUUGCUGGCAUAUGCAAUAGUGUCUGGGUUUGGUGGUUGUAUAUGGGAUGGAUCCCCAGGUGGGGCAGUCUCUGGAUGGUCUCCUUCCUUCAGUCUGCUCUGACCUUUCUCUCUGUAACUCCAGACUUUCAGUCAUCGUUCAUUCUGAAGUAAGUCAAAAUCCAAAAUGUCACAGAUGAGACAUUUGUGUUAAGCCGUACCUACAGCCUGCUAGUGUACUUGUCUCCCAGGGUCUACUACACUUCCCUGCAGGGCCCCAACAUACAGCCAAAGCCAGCCUCAAGUACAGAAUUCUUUUGAAAUCAUCCCACGGCAAUUCACUGACUUUAUCAUUCAUCACUUUUAAAUGAUGCUUUUGUAGUUAUUUUCUGAUUUAUGGAAGUGGAAAUGAAUCUUGCCAAAUAUGCUUUUCUAUACUUUUAGCCCUUGAUAGCAAUAUUGUCCUUCUUUUGUUUUUCCUUAGUUUGGAGGGGGAGGGUAGAAUUUUACCUUUAAAGGUACUUUAGCUAAAAGAGAUAAGGUGUAUACUUCCAGGAAAAAUGCAUGUUUGUGUAAUAAUUUAAAAUUUCAAUGGCCAUGGACUUUUACUUUAUUUCAGUUAAAAAACUGUAGGAUUUUAUCAGUUGUAUUAGCUACUACAAAUAUUUCCAUGGCUGGGUGAGGUAGAAAAUCCAUGAUGGUGUAAAGAGCUCUUAUUUGGGUUCCACACUUAACGCUUGCCAAUAACUUGAAGUCCUUUGUGGGAGAAUCUGUAACAUCUACUGGUGCAUAAUUCAGUUACUAGGGAGAAAAGAAAAAGAUGAUUUAAAUCAAGCUAUAUAUAUGAUUUAUUUAUUUUAUGUAUGAAUACACUGUAGCUGUCUUCAGAUGCACCAGAAGAGGGCAUUGGAUCCCAUUACAAAUGGUUAUGAGUCACCAUGUAGUUGCUGGGAAUUGAACUCAGGACCUCUGGAAGAGCAGUCAGUGCUCUUAACCACUGAGCCAUCUCUCCAGCCCUCUAUUUGCAUUUUUAAAAAUGCAGAUAAAACCUUAUUUUCUUAGAUAUAUCUAAAAAAUCCAUGGUGAAUAAAAUCACAUUUUUUUUUUAGUUUACAAAUCCAAUUUUGCAUGCUCUACUAACAGGAGAAGAAACUGCUUUGUGACGUCAGUAAAUAAGUUUUGCCUAUAGGUAGUGAAUACAUCAAGCUGUAUUUGUUUUAUAAACUCAUAGAAAUAGUGAUUUUACUACUAACGAACUGACCAGGCAAGUUGGUAGUGGCAAAUUCCUUAGAGUCCUGUUGACAGGCAAAAGAGAACAGUCAACCCAUAGAGUUAGAAAGGAGAAAAGACAUAAGUCUUGCAUAGGAAGGACAAUAGCAAACAGAGUAGCAGCCAGUAGGUAUAUCCCUCGAGUUCCUUGAGCUCCAAUAACAGAAAGCUCAAAGACUUCAUUUCUGAUUAAAACCUUUUAUGCAUGAGUAUUUACAUGAGUACAGCUUACACUCAAACAUGCAUAUUGGUAAAUAUAUUAGAUUCUAGUGCUCUUAUCUUUUAGAACACAAUGGAACAAUAACACCUCCUAGACAGUUUGAAGUUAAAAAAAAAAAAAAGUUCAUUUGUAACUGAUAGCUUCUAGAAAAGAGAAAGUUAGUUUUCUUCAAAGGUGUGGCCCCUGGUAGGUUGAACAUGCUCUGCUGGAUGCCCACACACCAGAGAAUGUACAGGUAGCAUUACUUAGACUCAUGGGUUAAAAAACAAGACAGUGAAUCGGGGCCUUACUGUGCAGUGUAGCCUAGCCAAUAACUCAGGUUCACCUGUCCUGGCCUUCCUUCUGAGUUGCUGGGUUUACAAGCAUGCACCACCUGCCUUACCUCAUUUCUUGACUAUUUUAACUAAUUCUUGAUAAUAAAAUUCUUGCCCCAGAUGAAGUUGGCAAUACAAAUCCAACAAGAGUAAAAAUAAUACUUUAUAACAGUAGUUUCAAAUAAAAAAUUGGGGGGCUGGAGAGAUGGCACCAAGGUUAAGAGUACUUGCUCUCGGAGGAUCCAGAUCCAAUUCCUAGCACCAUCUGUGGCACAAGCUCCCAGGGACCCUGCCUACUCUUUUGGCCUCUGCAGGCAACAGGCACCGUGUGGUUCUCUAGUAUACAUGUAAACACUCAU
rnacentral:lncRNA from 1 species